UGUGGUCUUAAUUUGCAUUUCCCUGAUUUGAGGGAAUUUUUGAACAGAAGUAAAGGUAACUAAUGGAUCUUAGAAAUUAUCUAGCAGUCCUAUUUCUCAUUUUAUAAAAUUAGGACACUGAGGCCCAAAGAGCUCAAUCGGCUUUCUAGUGGCAGAAUUAGAACUAAAUCAUACAUCACUGAGUUCCUAGUUCAGUGCUCUUUCUACUCCACCAAGCUGCCAGCAUAUACAAUGAUUACCUCUUUAACAAUUAUCCACUGAUCAGAGUUUUCAAAUCUUCGUUUUUUAAUCAGAGUCAGCCUUUAAUGCAAUAGCUAUAUAUUAGUCUACCAAAGGAGGAAUUAUGCACAACUUGUCUUGCCAAAGAACAUUCUUGUCGUCCCCCUCCCCCCAAUAAACAAACAAAACCUUCCCCAAAGGCAUCCACACUUAUAUGGCAGAGAAGAAGAUGAAUAUGCUUACAAGAACAUAUAGGAGACACAAACUUUUCAAAGAAAGUAGCAUUCAGAUGCACCAGCUAUCCUGCUGCUUCUUAAUUAUGAGUGACGAAUGUCAUUUCAUAUAUAGGCCAUCACGUGUAUACUAAAUCCUGGCCCCGAUCACGUGCAAUAGCAUACGUAACACACUGAAAGUGCAUGCAAUGAAGAUGAUGCAAAGACAGAAAAUGGCUAUGUUUCACAAAUGACACUGGCAAGACCAGCAGUAACUUG